UAAACAUUUAUUUAGCGCCUACUAUGUGUCAGGCACUGUUUUAAGCUCUGGAUAGAUCGUGGACAGCAGAAGUUGGUGCCUAACUUCGGGAGGAGGUCGGUCCGGGACCUCAGAUUCCUUCUCGGCUCGCUGGCCAUCCCCAAAGCCCAGGUUCGGACGCCCAAGCCCCUACCCCUCCACCACCCCUACCCAGUCCCAGAUUCCCGGUCCCCUCUGCAGGCAGUUCCCAGGGGACGUGAGUCACUGCAGAGAAAUCCCGGCAGCAGAAAGAAAGUUUGGAGUUCUGAGAGUCUCCCCGUAGCGCUGCAGGCACCUCGCUCUCUCCCGGGCAGGAGCCAAGGCGAGCUGCACCUGGGGAAAGUUGCUGCCAACAGGGUGUGGUGCCUGGUAAACAGAUCUCUAUGAUGGAAGUGACAACAGGACAAAGUAAAGGAUGCUGACCUUGGUUCAAAUCCUGCUUCAUACGUUAACAGCAGAGAUUCUGUCUCAGAAACCUGGACCACGUGAGAAAUGCAGAAGAGACUUUUCAAUCCUACUCUAGCUUAC